rnacentral:rRNA from 1 species
CCUACGUGGGGCAGCAGUGAGGAAUAUUGGUCAAUGGUCGGGAGACUGAACCAGCCAAGCCGCGUGAGGGAUGAAGGUACAGAGUAUCGUACACCUCUUUUGUCAGGGAACAAAGGCGGGGACGCGUCCACGGGUGAGUGUACCUGAAGAAAAAGCAUCGGCUAACUCCGUGCCAGCAGCCGAGGUAAUACGGAGGAUGCGAGCGUUAUCCGGAUUUAUUGGGUUUAAAGGGUGCGCAGGCGGUCUGUUAAGUCAGCGGUCAAAGCCCGGGGCUCAACCCCGGCCCGCCGUUGAAACUGGCAGUCUCGAGUUGGAGAGAAGUAUGCGGAAUGCGCGGUGUAGCGGUGAAAUGCAUAGAUAUCGCGCAGAACUCCGAUUGCGAAGGCAGCAUGCCGGCUCCACACUGACGCUGAGGCACGAAAGCGUGGGUAGCGAACAGGAUUAGAUACCCUGGUAGUC